rnacentral:rRNA from 1 species
AGGAUCAACGCUGGCGGCGUGCCUAAUGCAUGUAAGUGGAACGCAGCGCCUUCGGACGCUGAGUGGCGAACGGCUGAGGAACACGUACGAACCUGCCCUCCCGUGGGGAAUAACGCCGCGAAAGCGGUGCUAAGACCGCGUACGCUGGAGCAUCCUGCUUCAGGAAAGCCACACGGCGCGGGAGGAGGGGCGUGCGGCCCAUCAGGUCGUUGGUGGGUAAGGCCUACCAAGCCGGUGACGGGUAGCUGGUCUGUGAGGACGAUCAGCCAGACUGGGACUGCGAAACGGCCCAGACACCUACGGGUGGCAGCAGCGAGGAAUCUUCCACAAUGGGCGCAAGCCCGAUGGAGCAACGCCGCGUGGAGGACGACGGCCUUCGGG